rnacentral:tRNA from 1 species
GCGCAGGUCGGGGAUACUUCUCCUGCUAAGAGAGAGACGCGGGUUCGAAUCCCGUCCGGCGCA